rnacentral:rRNA from 1 species
CAGGAUGAACGCUAGCGGCAGGCUUAAUACAUGCAAGUCGUGGGGCAGCAUGAGUAGCAAUACUUGAUGGCGACCGGCAAACGGGUGAGGAACACGUACACAACCUUCCUUCAAGCGGGGAAUAGCCCAGAGAAAUUUGGAUUAAUACCCCAUAAUAUAUUUGAUAAGGCAUCUUAUUAAUAUUAAAGCUUCGGCACUUGAUGAUGGGUGUGCGGCUGAUUAGAUAGUUGGCGGGGUAACGGCCCACCAAGUCUACGAUCAGUAGCUGAUGUGAGAGCAUGAUCAGCCACACGGGCACUGAGACACGGGCCCGACUCCUACGGGAGGCAGCAGUAAGGAAUAUUGGACAAUGGACGAAAGUCUGAUCCAGCCAUGCCGCGUGAAGGAUUAAGGUCCUCUGGAUUGUAAACUUCUUUUAUAUGGGACGAAAAAAGGGCAUUCUUGUUCACUUGACGGUACCAUAUGAAUAAGCACCGGCUAACUCCGCG